rnacentral:rRNA from 1 species
AAUGAAAGUGGCGAACGGGUGAGUAACACGUGAGCAACCUACCUUACACAGGGGGAUAGCCGUUGGAAACGACGAUUAAUACCGCAUGAGACCACAGAAUCGCAUGAUAUAGGGGUCAAAGAUUUAUCGGUGUAAGAAGGGCUCGCGUCUGAUUAGCUAGUUGGAAGGGUAAAGGCCUACCAAGGCGACGAUCAGUAGCCGGUCUGAGAGGAUGAACGGCCACAUUGGAACUGAGACACGGCCCAAACUCCUACGGGAGGCAGCAGUGGGGAAUAUUGCACAAUGGGGGGAACCCUGAUGCAGCGACGCCGCGUGAGCGAAGAAGGUUUUCGAAUCGUAAAGCUCUGUCCUAUGAGAAGAUAAUGACGGUAUCAUAGGAGGAAGCCCCGGCUAAAUACGUGCCAGCAGCCGCGGUAAUACGUAUGGGGCGAGCGUUGUCCGGAAUUAUUGGGCGUAAAGGGUACGUAGGCGGUUUUUUAAGUCAGGUGUGAAAGCGUGAGGCUUAACCUCAUUAAGCACUUGAAACUGGAAGACUUGAGUGAAGGAGAGGAAAGUGGAAUUCCUAGUGUAGCGGUGAAAUGCGUAGAUAUUAG